GUCUACUACAGCAAGGAAUGUGCCAGCGGCCAAUCUGAUGAACAUGUGACAGAAGAUUUGGCAAUGGGUGAAGAAAUACUGAGAUUGAAAUGCAACCACAGGUGGAGGCUUCAACCAAACUUUUCAGACAUACAUGAGAUACAAAGUUACACAAGUAUAAAUGGUUGAAGGUUUAGGAGGGCCAGACAAGAAGGCAGGAAAUGUGAUGUCACUUUUACUUCAAUGAACAUGGACAGCAGCAGGAGCAACAACAGCAUCAGCAGCCGAAACUACAACUACAGUAAGAGAUGCAACAACCACACCGACAACAUCAACAGCAGCAGGAGCUCCAACAACCAUGCAGGGAACAUCGGGCGCAACAUAAAUAACUUCAUCAAGAGAUGCAACAACCACAGUGGUAAACAUCAACAGCAGUAGCAACAACGACAGUAGAAACAAAGCCAACAGCAAGGAUUCUAACAAGCAAUCAUACAAGCAACAACACAAGCGACAACAUCAAUAAAUGCAUCAGGAGAUGCAACAGCCACACUCGUAAACAGCAGCAGGAGCAGCGAUGACAACAGCAACCACACAGGCAACACCUUGAGCAACAUCAGUAGCAAAAAUAACUAAUUGCACCAGGAGAUGCAACAACCACACCCACAACACCAAGAGCAGCAAAAAACAAACAGCAAUUCCAGCAAUCACGAUGACAACAGCAGCAGCAACACCAACAACACUAAUGAACAUUGAAAAAACUUGUACAAAAGUCAAUGAGGUCGC